GUCAGUUAGGAGCCCUGUCGGCAGCAAGCUAAGGGUUUACCUUAGUAUGAAAGUUCUGUAUUUAAAAAAGAAAACAACUAUGCACCAGAUUCUCAGAUUUCAUUACAAUUAGGAAAGGUUGCAAAUCAGGUAAACAUAAAAAAGCCAUUUCACUCUGUGUGUGUGUGUGUGUGUGUGUGUGUGUGUGUGUGUGUGUGUGAGUGUGGUGUCCGAAAACCUUCCAUACAAAGCAGCUCCUGAUAAGGAGUCUGGACAGCAUUCGCUGAACAAAAUUUAAUUUUGGUAUUCUGGGUCUCCUCGCUGAAGGGAAUUUUAACAGCAGGCCUUGAGGUGAAGGAAUAAGAAACGGCGCUUUAGUUAAGGUUUUCUCCACAGGAAAAUGUACAAAGCACUGUCUUAUUUCUUAGCGAAAAAAAUAACAUGCAUGUAAAGUCGGCCACCGCAUUUUCUUUCAAUAAUAGAAACACCAUACUACAGCCAACAUCCCAGAGCACAGCGUCCACUAUUGUGUUAGUACCGGCAGCGGAAGGACUUAGCCGCACAGCAACAUUAAAGAGUCCUUCUUUGUUCAGUCCAGACCGGAGACGCAGGGUGCGGUGUUCUUCCGCGCUCUCCCGGCAGUCCCCGCCUCUCGGCGGUCCUGGAGAGCUGCCAUUCGGCCUUGGAGUCGCUCCGCGCUCCCAGAAUGCACCGGCAGUCCGCGGGAAACCAAAAUGGCGAAGGGCUGUAGCGAAGUGGGCUGUGUUUGAGGCCGGUCGGUUGGCACCACUGAAGUGA
rnacentral:lncRNA from 1 species